rnacentral:misc_RNA from 1 species
UUUCAAUUAAUAGUGUAACAUACAUGGUUCAUAUUGCCAGAGCAUCAAUGGCUUCUAGUUGGGCUUUUGUCUGAGGCUUCCAUAAUCAUACCUCAGUCAUGGCAUACGCUUCUUCAUCAACAUGGAAAAUUCCUGCUACAACAACUAAAAGGGUCUCUGAUUCUACCGUUUCAGGCUAUUUUCUCUUCUUCUCCACCAUUCAUAGCCCUCAACAAUAUAAAAGAUCUCGUUUAACUACUUUCUCAGCUGACCCCUCUUCUUCUUCUUCUUCAAGCUCCUCUUGUUCUACUUCUAUCAAAAAGUUGCCUAACAGCAAGAAACCAUUAAAAUUUGCAGAAACCUCUGAUGGGUCUUUGUCAAUGUUGUAUUCUGAUGAGUCCACCGCUGCACUUGAUGAGGAGGAGGAAAUCGUUUCGGAGAAUGUUAAGAAGAAGAAGCAGCCUUUCUUGAGGGAGAUUUUGUUUGCCUCUGACAAGAUCAGGAGUAUUCUCUUGCUUAAUUUUAUCACCAUUGUCUAUGCUAGUAACAUUCCAGUAGUGAAAGCUGUUGAAGCUAUGAUGGAUCCUGCAGCCUUCUCAGCUAUGCGGUUUGUGAUGUCUGCAAUCCCAUUUUUACCAUUUGUGUUUCAAGCAAGAGAUGAUGUUAAGAUCCGCAAUGCAGGGAUGGAGUUGGGAUUAUGGGUCAGUUUAGGGUACCUUAUUGAGGCACUUGGACUACUUACAUCUGAUGCUGGCCGUGCAUCAUUCAUUUCUAUGUUUACAGUUGUUGUAGUACCACUGCUUGAUGGAAUGUUAGGAGCAAUAAUACCUGCUCGUACUUGGUUUGGAGUUCUCAUGUCUGCCAUUGGAGUUGCUAUGCUGGAAUGCAGUGGAUCUCCUCCAAAUGUUGGUGACCUUUUGAACUUUUUGAGUGCAAUUUUUUUUGGAAUUCAUAUGCUUAGAACUGAACAUUUUUCAAGAAUUACCAAGAAAGAGAACUUCUUGCCUCUUCUUGGAUAUGAGGUAUGUGUUGUCGCUCUGUUAUCCACAAUUUGGGUUAUGGUUGGGGGAUGGUUCCAAGAGCAGGACCUAUCACCAUGGACAUGGGCAGUGAUGUGGAACUGGAUUGUUGCAUUUCCAUGGAUCCCUGCUCUUUAUACUGGAGCAUUCUCAACUGGAUUAUGCUUAUGGGUAGAGAUUGCAGCAAUGCGUGAUGUUUCAGCAACAGAAACAGCGAUAAUUUAUGGGUUAGAGCCAUUGUGGGGUGCUGGUUUCGCUUGGUUUCUUCUUGGUGAAAGGUGGGGAACGGCUGGAUGGUUUGGGGCAGCUCUCGUCCUUGGUGGAAGCUUGAUAGUGCAGAUAUUUGGAACCUUAACGCCCAAUUACGAAUCAAUAAAGGUUGGAAAGAAUAAAGAGAAAGAUGAUCUCCUCCUGGUUCCAGAUAAGCAAAAACUGCAUAAUAGCCUCUCAGCUUCACCAGUGGUUGUCAGGUCAAGGAAGGAUAUAAUUGAUAUGUUGAAAUGAUCCCAUCUACUAGCAUUUCCUUAAAUUUGUAUGUAUUUUCAUAAAAAUAAAAAAAUAAAAAAAUUGCAUAUGUAUAUAGUGAUGGCUUAACAUGUAUGUUUCCCUUGCAAAGUUCUGAAGGUGUUUUGCUAUUCCCUCCUAUAAUUCAAGAUCUCAACUAUUUUGGAUUCAUGUUCAAUAUCUUUGGAAACUAUAUACCUUUUUUGGAAUGAACAUUGAUUUCCUUGAAUAUGGUUGGAAGAGAUCCAGGUAUCCUUUCAACCAUAAAUACAACAAGACAUCCAUAAUUGUUAGGUUAACACAAGUCCAUCCAAACAACCUUAGGCAAGUCAACUCUGGCACAGAUAUUAGGUCCAAAUGAAAUGUAGUUUUAUUAAGACAUGAAAAUGUUGCAGCAAUAGUUAUAGCCAGUGAUAGCUGCAUAUAUGUUGAACUUAAGAGACUCAGGUACGACUACCCCCUCCCCCAACAUAUGUAAAAAAAGACAUAAAAAUGCUAGAAUAAUUUAAGUUCAAGCAUAGGCUUGAGUCAUACAAUCAUCAAAGGUUGAUGGUUCAUUGCUCAGAAAUUUAUUCAAUGCUUUAGAAGUAGUGCAUGUGAUACUCAUUUUUUCUUUGCAAUAAACAGGCCCCAUCGCUGCUCACCGGAUGAGCUCCUAAUCAACUUUGCCUUCCAUCCACCAACUAUAUCAUUAUAGUCCUCUUCAGAAAAGUCUUGGAUGAAUUCAUCCUUCUCCUUCUCGACAGCAUUUAAUUCCCGUUGCAGAACUUGAUUAAACUGAUCAGUUCUGUCCUCUGCAAUGACAUCAUCAAAACCAGCAUCCCUAAGCAUCUGCCCAUAUGCUUUUACAUCAUGAAGAUCAUAUCCUCUCUGCUUAAUAUACUCUGAAAAUUCUGGCGAUGGAGUUCCAGCAUUCUUGCAAUAAUCACUUAUAAGAACUUUACCUCCAGGCUUCAACCACUUGAAGAAUGAUCUAAACAAUGCAGGUUUGUCUUGAAUGUGCAGAAUGGUGUCACGGCUGUAGAUAACAUCAAAUGUGUUAUCAGGAUAUGUCUUCUUUGUGCAAUCAGCAACUUCAAACUCAACAUUGCAUUUGAGUCCAAUGGCAGAUUCAAGAGCAAUAGAUAUCAUAUUAAUUGAGAGGUCAAUGCCAACAACUUCCACAUCAAAGUUCUCAGCCAUGUAAAAGUCACCUCCUCCAAUACCACAUCCAACAUCUAGGACUUUCUGGCCAGGCUUAAGAUCCAGCUUUGCCACAAAUUCUUUAGUUGUUUCAAUUCCUCCUGUGCUUACAAAACCUUUUCCAAAGACACGCUCAUAGCGUAGGAUGCCAUUACAUUUAUAUUGAACAUUAUCCAAGAACUGCUGGAACCCCUUAUCAUCUUGUGAACUUACUUUCUGCCAUAUCCAACAUAUCUGAUUUUGAUUCUUCUUAUUCCUCACAUAAGCUCCAAUGCAUUUGCAGCCAAUAAGAGUGAGUUCAUAAGAAUUUCCAGAACCAUCAUGGGUAUGGCACUCUUUAAAGACCUUAGUGUAAAAUCUGGGCUCCCGGUAAUGAGUUGGGUUGUAUUUUCGCUUACUAUCUCCAGAUUGAUGGAAACAAGACUCUCUGAAAAAAAUAUACCCGCCAACCUUUAACCAUUUGACCAUCCUUUCCGCCAGAUUCUCUACCUCUUUAUCUGAGAGAUACAUAAGAAGCCAAUUUGAGAAUAUUAAAUCCACUGAUCCUUCUGAAAAUUUCAAGUCAGGGGAUGUCACAUCAGCACACAUAAACUUGACAUUCUUGUGGUGUCCAUUAAUGCUUUCAUUCUUCUUUAUCACGCUCUCAAUGAAGUCCACGGCAACAAGCUGCCCAGCUUUCUGCGCUAAUUCCCCAGUGAAACGACCAAUACCAGCUCCAAACUCCAAAACUGAUUUUCCUUCGUAUGAUGGGAGCAGAGAAAGCACCUCGGGACGUUCUUCUUUGUCAAGAUCAGAGGCCUUGGAGUCAAGCAUCAUUGCCUCCACCGUCAAAUUGGCAGAGUGCUCGAUCCAAUAGUUCUUCUGAACCUCACGCUCUUCAACUAUUAAACCGACAAACAAAAGAAGAACAAAUAAAAAAAGACAUGAUUAAAAAGAUCAAAGCAUUAGAAAUCCAGAAUUCGUUUAACAUUCCCAAGUCUAGUCCCCAACCCAGAUCCCAAUUUCAUUUCUUCUUCAAUUAUGGUUUGAACCCAAAUGAAAAAACUCAAUGAAAAAGGAAUGUAUACCAUGAGCAGCCAUUCUUCAAAUCAAGAAAGAUUAAAAUUCGAGUAGGAAAUGCAAGAAGCAAGGUCUAGAUUUGAAGUUCUAAAGGCAAAGGGCAAGGAAAUGAGACAAGCAAGAAAGGGUUCUAACAGCCCUCUACGGCAACGCGAGAUCUAGAAAAGCUCCUGGAUCUGCGGUUAAAAACUCUGCCUUUCUGUUGCAUCACCAAAUCUGCCAUGCAGGAGGAUGGGGCUCUUCCGCUGAGUUUUGGGAUUGGUUUGUAUCGGUUGCUGAAACUUUGGCAUGCGUGAGGUUUUAUAGAGAUACAUCAGACCUAGCAUAUGUACAAUUUUACCCUCCAAAACAAUUUUAUUCAAUUAAAUAAUUAAAUACUCAAAUGAUUUUUUUUUCUUUUUAUAAUUACUCUAAUG